rnacentral:rRNA from 1 species
GGUUAAGCGAAUAAGCGUACACGGUGGAUGCCUAGGCAAUCAGAGGCGAUGAAGGACGUGCUAAUCUGCGAUAAGCGUCGGUAAGGUGAUAUGAACCGUUAUACCCGACGAUUUCCGAAUGGGGAAACCCAAUAUCCAAUGGAUAUUAUCAUGACGUGAAUACAUAGCGUCAUGAAGCGAACCGGGAGAACUGAAACAUCUCAGUACCCCGAGGAAAAGAAAUCAACCGAGAUUCCCCUAGUAGCGGCGAGCGAACGGGGAACAGCCCAGAGUCUUAAUCAACAGCAGCAUCAGGAGAACGGUCUGGAAAGUCCGGCAGUAAAGGGUGAUAGCCCCGUAUCUGAAGAUGCUGUUAUUGUGAACUCGACGAGUAGGGCGGGACACGUGUUAUCCUGUCUGAAUAUGGGGGGGACCAUCCUCCAAGGCUAAAUACUCCUGAUUGACCGAUAGUGAACCAGUACCGUGAGGGAAAGGCGAAAAGAACCCCGGCGAGGGGAGUGAAAAAGAACCUGAAACCGUGUACGUACAAGCAGUAGGAGCCUCUUUAUGGGGUGACUGCGUACCUUUUGUAUAAUGGGUCAGCGACUUAUAUUCUGUAGCAAGGUUAACCGUAUAGGGGAGCCGUAGGGAAACCGAGUCUUAACUGGGCGAAUGAGUUGCAGGGUAUAGACCCGAAACCCGGUGAUCUAUCCAUGGGCAGGUUGAAGGUUGGGUAACACUAACUGGAGGACCGAACCGACUAAUGUUGAAAAAUUAGCGGAUGACUUGUGGAUGGGGGUGAAAGGCCAAUCAAACCGGGAGAUAGCUGGUUCUCCCCGAAAGCUAUUUAGGUAGCGCCUCGUGAAUUCAUCUUCGGGGGUAGAGCACUGUUUCGACUAGGGGGUCAUCCCGACUUACCAACUCGAUGCAAACUGCGAAUACCGAAGAAUGUUAUCACGGGAGACACACGGCGGGUGCUAACGUCCGUCGUGAAGAGGGAAACAACCCAGACCGCCAGCUAAGGUCCCAAAGUCAUGGUUAAGUGGGAAACGAAGUGGGAAGGCUCAGACAGCCAGGAUGUUGGCUUAGAAGCAGCCAUCAUUUAAAGAAAGCGUAAUAGCUCACUGGUCGAGUCGGCCCGCGCGGAAGAUGUAACGGGGCUAAACCAUGCACCGAAGCUGCGGCAGCGACACUAUGUGUUGUUGGGUAGGGGAGCGUUCUGUAAGCCUGCGAAGGUGUACUGUGAGGUAUGCUGGAGGUAUCAGAAGUGCGAAUGCUGACAUAAGUAACGAUAAUGCGGGUGAAAAACCCGCACGCCGGAAGACCAAGGGUUCCUGUCCAACGUUAAUCGGGGCAGGGUGAGUCGACCCCUAAGGCGAGGCUGAAAAGCGUAGUCGAUGGGAAACGGGUUAAUAUUCCCGUACUGGUGGUAACUGCGAUGGGGGAACGGAGAAGGCUAGGUUGUCCGGGCGACGGUCGUCCCGGUUCAAGCAUGUAGGCAGAGUGAUUAGGCAAAUCCGGUCACUUAAUGCUGAGGUGUGAUGACGAACCACUAAGGUGGUGAAGCAAUUGAUGCCCUGCUUCCAGGAAAAGCCUCUAAGCUUCAGGUUACCAACAAUCGUACCCCAAACCGACACAGGUGGUCAGGUAGAGAAUACUCAGGCGCUUGAGAGAACUCGGGUGAAGGAACUAGGCAAAAUGGUGCCGUAACUUCGGGAGAAGGCACGCUGGCGGUAAGUGAAGUCCCUCGCGGACGGAGCCGAAGCCAGUCGAAGAUACCAGCUGGCUGCAACUGUUUAUUAAAAACACAGCACUGUGCAAACACGAAAGUGGACGUAUACGGUGUGACGCCUGCCCGGUGCUGGAAGGUUAAUUGAUGGGGUUAUCCGUAAGGAGAAGCUCUUGAUCGAAGCCCCAGUAAACGGCGGCCGUAACUAUAACGGUCCUAAGGUAGCGAAAUUCCUUGUCGGGUAAGUUCCGACCUGCACGAAUGGCGUAAUGAUGGCCAGGCUGUCUCCACCCGAGACUCAGUGAAAUUGAACUCGCUGUGAAGAUGCAGUGUACCCGCGGCAAGACGGAAAGACCCCGUGAACCUUUACUAUAGCUUGACACUGAACAUUGAGCCUUGAUGUGUAGGAUAGGUGGGAGACUAUGAAAUGUGGACGCCAGUCUGCAUGGAGUCAACCUUGAAAUACCACCCUUUAACGUUUGAUGUUCUAACCUAGGUCCAUAAUCUGGAUCGGGGACCGUGUCUGGUGGGUAGUUUGACUGGGGCGGUCUCCUCCUAAAGAGUAACGGAGGAGCACGAAGGUUGGCUAAGCAUGGUCGGACAUCAUGCGGUUAGUGCAAAGGCAUAAGCCAGCUUGACUGUGAGAGUGACGGCUCGAGCAGGUACGAAAGUAGGUCUUAGUGAUCCGGUGGUUCUGAAUGGAAGGGCCAUCGCUCAACGGAUAAAAGGUACUCCGGGGAUAACAGGCUGAUACCGCCCAAGAGUUCAUAUCGACGGCGGUGUUUGGCACCUCGAUGUCGGCUCAUCACAUCCUGGGGCUGAAGUAGGUCCCAAGGGUAUGGCUGUUCGCCAUUUAAAGUGGUACGCGAGCUGGGUUUAGAACGUCGUGAGACAGUUCGGUCCCUAUCUGCCGUGGGCGUUGGAAGAUUGAGAGGGGUUGCUCCUAGUACGAGAGGACCGGAGUGAACGCACCACUGGUGUUCGGGUUGUCAUGCCAAUGGCAUUGCCCGGUAGCUAAGUGCGGAAGAGAUAACCGCUGAAAGCAUCUAAGCGGGAAACUUGCCUCGAGAUGAGUCUUCCCUGUCACCUUGAGUGACCUAAAGGAACGUUUAAGACUAAGACGUUGAUAGGCUGGAUGUGUAAGCGUAGCGAUACGUUGAGCUAACCAGUACUAAUGAACCGUGAGGCUUAACCUG